rnacentral:rRNA from 1 species
CAAGAGCGUAUGUAAAAGUUGUUGCAGUUAAAAAGCUCGUAGUUGAACCUUGGGUUUGGUUGGCCGGUCCGCUUUUUUGCGAGUACUGGAUUCAACCGAGCCUUUCCUUCUGGCUAACCAGUCGUUUCGGCGGCUGGCGAACCAGGAUUUUUACUUUGAGAAAAUUAGAGUGUUCAAAGCAGGCAUUAGCUUGAAUAUAUUAGCAUGGAAUAAUAGAAUAGGACGUUAUGGUUCUAUUUUGUUGGUUUCUAGGACCAUCGUAAUGAUUAAUAGGGACGGUCGGGGGCAUCAGUAUUCAGUUGUCAGAGGUGAAAUUCUUGGAUUUACUGAAGACUAACUACUGCGAAAGCAUUUGCCAAGGACGUUCUCAUUAA